rnacentral:rRNA from 1 species
UAGGGAAUAUUGGGCAAUGGGCGCAAGCCUGACCCAGCCAUGCCGCGUGGAGGAUGAAGGCCUUCGGGUCGUAAACUCCUUUUCUGAGGGAAGAAUAGCCUGUGCAGGAAAUGGUAUGGGUAUGACGGUACCUCAGGAAUAAGCAACGGCCAACUCCGUGCCAGCAGCCGCGGUAAUACGGAGGUUGCAAGCGUUGUUCGGAAUUACUGGGCGUAAAGGGAGCGCAGGCGGCCAAGUCAGUCUGAAGUGAAAUCCCGGGGCUUAACCUCGGAAGUGCUUUGGAUACUACUUGGCUAGAGUACGUGAGAGGUGAGCGGAAUUCCAGGUGUAGCGGUGAAAUGCGUAGAUAUCUGGAGGAACACCCGUGGCGAAAGCGGCUCACUGGCGCGUAACUGACGCUGAGGCUCGAAAGCGUGGGGAGCAAACGGG